rnacentral:misc_RNA from 1 species
AAAAAUGUAUAAAUAAUGAUGUGACAUUGAUCAAUAAAUUAGUGUUUUUUUCUUCCACUGAUUUAUGUAAAAUUUAAAAAUUAUAAUUAAUUAAUAUUUGAAAUCCUAAUUCUAAAAUUCAUUGUAGAGCAGUGAAGGUUGAAGAUGAAUUGAAACACAGACUCAUUGCAGAGUGCAGAGCAGUAGAGAAAGUUCAAGUUCCAGCAAGCUUUAACUAUGUAAAUGUGGAGUCACAGCACUCAUUUGGACUACAAUGACAGAUGGAAACCAUGGAAAGAAAUUUCACAGCUCUGGUAGACUAAUAGGUAUAAUAUGGAAGAGAAGAGAUGCACCUUCUUUCAAUUGGUUGACGACGGAACGCCUUGUAAUAGAUAUAAAAGAAUAUUUAACAAUUUGAAUGAGAAGAUAAAAGGUUGUGAGGAUGAAAUUGAGGGCUAUAAGGAUUCAAUUGAGCUGGGGAGGUUGAAUUGAUGACAGUGGUAAAGCAAACUCGGAUGCUUAUCAAGCUUUUGGAGAAUGAUCUAAGAAUUGAAAAUGAAGUGAAGCACUUGCUUGAAUAAGAGACAACUCUAAAGCAAUUGGUGGAAUACAUGCAAUAUGCAAUGAGGCUCAGAAGACAGGUAUAGAUUUUGUAUUUG